GGGAUUGUGGCUCAGUGGUAGAGCGCUUGCCUAGCAUGUGUGAGGUCCUGAGUUUGAUCCUCAGCAUCACA
rnacentral:tRNA from 1 species